GAAGCUCAGUGGGAGAACAUUUGUCUUGCAUGCAAAAGGUCCCAGGUUGAAUCCCUGGCAUCACCA
rnacentral:tRNA from 1 species